CUUUCUUUGCUGGCGACCGGCGCACGGGUGAGUAACACGUAUCCAACCUGCCCUUUACUCGGGGAUAGCCUUUCGAAAGAAAGGUUAAUACCCGAUAGCAUAAUGAUUCCGCAUGGUUUCAUUAUUAAAGGAUUCCGGUAAAGGAUGGGGAUGCGUUCCAUUAGGUUGUUGGUGAGGUAACGGCUCACCAAGCCUUCGAUGGAUAGGGGCUCUGAGAGGAAGGUCCCCCACAUUGGAACUGAGACACGGUCCAA
rnacentral:rRNA from 1 species